GGGUUGUGAGGUUAAGCGACUAAGCGUACACGGUGGAUGCCCUGGCAGUCAGAGGCGAUGAAGGGCGUGCUAAUCUGCGAUAAGCGCCGGUAAGGUGAUAUGAACCGUUAUAACCGGCGAUACCCGAAUGGGGAAACCCAGUGUGACUCGUCACACUAUCAUUAACUGAAUCCAUAGGUUAAUGAGGCGAACCGGGGGAACUGAAACAUCUAAGUACCCCGAGGAAAAGAAAUCAACCGAGAUUCCCCCAGUAGCGGCGAGCGAACGGGGAGGAGCCCAGAGCCUGAAUCAGCAUGUGUGUUAGUGGAAGCGUCUGGAAAGGCGCGCGAUACAGGGUGACAGCCCCGUACACAAAAGCGCAUGUGCUGUGAGCUCGAUGAGUAGGGCGGGACACGUGGUAUCCUGUCUGAAUAUGGGGGGACCAUCCUCCAAGGCUAAAUACUCCUGACUGACCGAUAGUGAACCAGUACCGUGAGGGAAAGGCGAAAAGAACCCCGGCGAGGGGAGUGAAAAAGAACCUGAAACCGUGUACGUACAAGCAGUGGGAGCACAGGUUUACCUGUGUGACUGCGUACCUUUUGUAUAAUGGGUCAGCGACUUAUAUUCUGUAGCAAGGUUAACCGAAUAGGGGAGCCGGAGGGAAACCGAGUCUUAAUUGGGCGUUAAGUUGCAGGGUAUAGACCCGAAACCCGGUGAUCUAGCCAUGGGCAGGUUGAAGGUUGGGUAACACUAACUGGAGGACCGAACCGACUAAUGUUGAAAAAUUAGCGGAUGACCUGUGGCUGGGGGUGAAAGGCCAAUCAAACCGGGAGAUAGCUGGUUCUCCCCGAAAGCUAUUUAGGUAGCGCCUCGUGAAUUCAUCUCCGGGGGUAGAGCACUGUUUCGGCUAGGGGGCCAUCCCGGCUUACCAACCCGAUGCAAACUGCGAAUACCGGAGAAUGUUAUCACGGGAGACACACGGCGGGUGCUAACGUCCGUCGUGAAGAGGGAAACAACCCAGACCGCCAGCUAAGGUCCCAAAGUCAUGGUUAAGUGGGAAACGAUGUGGGAAGGCCCAGACAGCCAGGAUGUUGGCUUAGAAGCAGCCAUCAUUUAAAGAAAGCGUAAUAGCUCACUGGUCGAGUCGGCCUGCGCGGAAGAUGUAACGGGGCUAAACCAUGCACCGAAGCUGCGGCAGCGACACUCAGGUGUUGUUGGGUAGGGGAGCGUUCUGUAAGCCUGUGAAGGUGGCCUGUGAGGGUUGCUGGAGGUAUCAGAAGUGCGAAUGCUGACAUAAGUAACGAUAAAGCGGGUGAAAAGCCCGCUCGCCGGAAGACCAAGGGUUCCUGUCCAACGUUAAUCGGGGCAGGGUGAGUCGACCCCUAAGGCGAGGCCGAAAGGCGUAGUCGAUGGGAAA
rnacentral:rRNA from 1 species